GCCCCUUGUGACUCCAGCCUCCAAUGUUCUGUUGCCCCCCAUCCACUGGAAUCGACGUCCCAGCACUGAAGUGGGGCAGACUGCAUGGGGAACGCCGCCCAAGAGCUUGUAUCUGAGACAGGUUUCAGAGGGAUUUCGAAUGCCGCUGUCCGUUUGCCGUGUGGAGAACGGGUUUCGUUAUGAAGGGGAUGUCCACACUUCAAACACCCUAUGAGUGCAGCGUCCGCGUAGACGCUGCCGGUGGGGAGGUUUCCCAUCGGCGUUGGGAAUCCACCUCCUCGAGAGGCUGUAGCCAGGUUGAUGGAAGAAUUCCUCCGUCUACUUAGUGCUGUUUACACCAGGGGUGGGUCGGUGUUGCUGCAUCUCUCGGGUUUUUCACACCGUAGCUGCACUGAUGUAAGUUCCUAGUGCAAACCAGGCCUAGGAGAUUGGCUGGUAUGUGCGAUACGCAUGCUCGCAGUCUUCCCCCCGCUGACUGGCAGCUACUAACACCUGCCUGGGCUUGUACACACAAUAGCUCUGCUGAGCGCAAGGCCUGAUAUUGGUCUUUCUAGAAAUCUUUCCGCAAAGGCCUCAUCUGCACUAGGAAGUCCAUCGGUCGGGUGUGGAAAAUCCAGUGUUGUCCCAAGUCCCUGUGGAGACAGCGCUAGCUGCUUAGCUCCUGCCUCUGGGGCAGUGGGUAUCCUAUGCGGACAGGAGUGCCAGUCCCAUCGGCGCAGGGCGUGUCUAUGCUAUAGGGCCAAGUAUAGACAAGCCCCAGGAGUUCAGCGAAGGUGCAAAGAAAAGGGGUGUGCACCAGUCAUGGUCCAGAAGCCAGGAGAGAAGAGAGGUAACUGAGUGAGCAACGGGCUGCACCUCAUCGCAUUUGACCUGCAGGUUGCUUGAGGACAUAAUCUACCCAAGGUUAUCGAUGAAAAUGGUCAAUAGCGUAGGCCAAGAACCAGUCCCUGAAGGAUCCCACUAGAAACACACCCACUUGAAGUUGCUGUUUAACAUCCCCCUGAGGUACCAUUGGAACUGAAAGAGUUUCAUCCUAGGCUAUGACUGCAUCAGUGCCGGAGUCCUAAAAAAAUAAGUUCCAGAACACAAAAUUUCAACAAGAAUACCUUGUAAUUGUCCCAGUGGAGCCAGAGCCUGCUGCAGCACAACCACAAGCUGCUGCUGCCCUUGAUAGGGCUCCUGGCCAGGAUUUACAGUUCUUGCUGUUCAGCUCCCUCUAGGGGUUGGUGGACAGUCGUUCUGCCCUGCUGCUUCACCUAUACUUGCCCCCAAGCUGGAGCCGCUGCAAGACAUCCAGGUUUAUUGGAGAUGAGGUGGGCCUCGUGCCGCGGUCAUCUACCAUCACACAGAGAGGGACAUACACCUGGCCGUAUGGGGCUGUAUCACCAUGGUCAGAAGUACUGGAAUGGCCUCCUGGAACAUUUUGACACAGGGCUUGGGCCAAGAAAAGCAGCGCCACUGAACUGGUUCCCGGCUGAGAAGUAGAGUCUGGAUGCAGCAAAACAAGAUCUCUUCCCUGCCGAGAAGCAGCCUCUGCAGCGGGACCAGAGCGGCAGCCCAGGUCUCCAGGGAGAGCUGCCAGGGGUGGAGGAAGCACCAGUCGUGGGUGAGAUCUACGCUCCGCAACUACCAACUGUGUGCCAAGGGACAGAACAAAAUGGCAGCGCAGGCUGCUAACUGUGAGUAGGGAGCCAGGCUGGUGCCCAUACUGCAUUAGCCACUCAGUGCACCCAUCACUUCCCUUCCACCUUGAAAUUCUUUAGACUGCAGGUGUCACCCCAGGUAACAAUCCAAGCCAGCUCUUUGCACAAACGGGUUUUAUUCCAUAACACCAACCCACCAUCGGAGCGGCUCAGAUACACAGGCAGCAAAGAACAGGGGGAGGGUGUGUGUGUGUGGUGUCUGCCACUGUCUCUCUAUCCCCCCCCCCCCCCCACCACCA